AGAACUUAGCAGAGAUGCUUUGGUGCCUUUCGGGGAACUCUGAGACAGGUGCUGCAUGGCUGUCGUCAGCUCGUGUUGUGAAAUGUUGGGUUAAGUCCCGCAACGAGCGCAACCCUUAUCCUUUGUUGCCAGCGGUUAGGCCGGGAACUCAAAGGAGACUGCCAGUGAUAAACUGGAGGAAGGUGGGGAUGACGUCAAGUCAUCAUGGCCCUUACGAGUAGGGCUACACACGUGCUACAAUGGCGCAUACAAAGAGAAGCGACCUCGCGAGAGCAAGCGGACCUCAUAAAGUGCGUCGUAGUCCGGAUUGGAGUCUGCAACUCGACUCCAUGAAGUCGGAAUCGCUAGUAAUCGUGGAUCAGAAUGCCACGGUGAAUACGUUCCCGGGCCUUGUACACACCGCCCGUCACACCAUGGGAGUGGGUUGCAAAAGAAGUAGGUAGCUUAACCUUCGGGAGGGCGCUUACCACUUUGUGAUUCAUGACUGGGGUGAAGUCGUAACAAGGUAAGCGUAGUGCU
rnacentral:rRNA from 1 species